rnacentral:rRNA from 1 species
AACGAACGCUGGCGGCAGGCUUAACACAUGCAAGUCAAACGAGAUCUUCGGAUCUAGUGGCAGACGGGUGAGGAACACGUGGGAACAUCCCUUUCAGUUCGGAAUAACGUUGGGAAACUAACGCUAAUACCGGAUACGUCCUUCGGGAGAAAGAUUUAUCGCUGAAAGAUUGGCCCGCGUCUGAUUAGCUAGUUGGUGAGGUAAUGGCUCACCAAGGCUACGAUCAGUAGCUGAUCUGAGAGGAUGAUCAGCCACAUUGGGACUGAGACACGGCCCAAACUCCUACGGGAGGCAGCAGUGGGGAAUAUUGGACAAUGGGCGCAAGCCUGAUCCAGCCAUGCCGCGUGGAUGAUGAAGGCCCUAGGGUUGUAAAGUCCUUUCGGCGGGGAAGAUAAUGACGGUACCCGCAGAAGAAGCCCCGGCUAACUUCGUGCCAGCAGCCGCCGUAAGAC